GCCAAUCUUUGCUAGGUGAGAUACCUGAUAUAAUUACAGUUUAAGACUUAGUGAGCUACUGAUCAAGAAAGAAAAAAGAAACAUGUACUAAAUUGUGGUAAUCAAUCAAUUGUUGCAUCUGCUUCCUGUGUGAAAUUAGAGAGAGAUACUGCUGCUGCUGAGGGGAUAACAUGUCACACCCCAACCUUGGGAGGUGUGGCUGGCACCCGAUGCCCGAAGGCCCGAGCGAACCAACUUAUGAUCUGAAAUAUAAUAACCUACAGGCAGAAGAGCCCAACACGACAUAUAUAUAUAACCUAGACCAACAAGGCUGCAACCACAUUAUAACAGCUAUCCAGGAGGCCGAUAGGGCCAUACGAAAAAUAUAUAUAUACAAUGACCGCUAGUCUGCAACCCUCUAAGAGUGUAAGACAAUCUCAACAGGGCGGGACAAGCCCCCGACAUGCCCAAAACCACACAUAUACAUAUGUAAUAGUACCUAUGGACUCAAAGUCAGCAACUCCGAAGAAGUGGAGUGCGAAACCCAACGCUGAUCCUGGGGGUCCUACUGAGAAGGCACGCCGCUCUGUCUAUCCGAACCUGUGGGCAUGAACACAGCGCAUAAAAAUGCGUCAGUACGAAAUAUGUACUGAAUAUGUAGGGCGACAAGUGUAACAUGAAAAAUGUAAUUAACAAGAGAAGAGAUAUAGAGACAAUUUGAAUUCUGAAACUAGCCUCGGUAGGAAACAAAAAUUCAACAUAGAUAUAAAUGUAUGCUCGUGAAAUCGUCGUUCACUAUUGCUACUUAUAAUAUAUCCCAUUAUAUAAUAAUAAAUCCCUCUGUGGGGCUAUAAUAUCCAUAACAUACCCGGCCAUAAUAAAGGCUCAGUAGAAUCGUACCCGGCCACGUGAAGCUCGGUAAUCCCAACUGAUCAGUGGUUACACAAUAUGUGUCAUACCCGGCCGUCUAUAGUGCGGCUCGGUAAUGAAAGUAAAUAUAUACAUAUACUAAAUCAUGAAUCAUAUAGGUGUAAUGCGAAACCAACCUUAAAA
rnacentral:lncRNA from 1 species